GUUUUACCUUUAUAAUUUUCCGAUCGGAUUGUGGAACACCAUUUAAAUUCCGAGUCGGAAUUGAAUUCCGAUUCCGAUGCGAUUCCGACUCGGAUUGCAGAACAGGGC